rfam:Capsicum annuum cultivar Zunla-1 chromosome 4, whole genome shotgun sequence
ACGUUCGUAAAAAGAAGAGAUGGUUCGUAUCUCCCUCGAUAGGAAUGGGAAUUCAAAUCGGGCUUUACUUGGUACAGACACAUCCGGUUAAGGCUACCCACCACUUCGGUGGAUCUUACCCAAUGUAUUC